rnacentral:rRNA from 1 species
UACGUAGGUGACAAGCGUUGUCCGGAUUUACUGGGCGUAAAGAGCUCGUAGGCGGUUUGUCGCGUCUGCCGUGAAAGUCCGGGGCUCAACUCCGGAUCUGCGGUGGGUACGGGCAGACUAGAGUGAUGUAGGGGAGACUGGAAUUCCUGGUGUAGCGGUGAAAUGCGCAGAUAUCAGGAGGAACACCGAUGGCGAAGGCAGGUCUCUGGGCAUUAACUGACGCUGAGGAGCGAAAGCAUGGGGAGCGAACAGG